rnacentral:rRNA from 1 species
UGGGGAAUCUUGCGCAAUGGGCGAAAGCCUGACGCAGCGACGCCGCGUGUGGGAUGAAGGUCUUCGGAUCGUAAACCACUGUCGCGAGGGACGAAUACAUUGACGGUACCUCGAAAGGAAGCACCGGCUAACUCUGUGCCAGCAGCCGCGGUAAUACAGAGGGUGCGAGCGUUGUCCGGAAUCACUGGGCGUAAAGGGCGCGUAGGUGGCUCUGUAAGUCGGGGGUGAAAUGCUGCGGCUCAACCGCAGCGCUGCCUCCGAGACUGCAGGGCUUGAGCACGGUAGAGGCCGAUGGAAUUCCCGGUGUAGCGGUGGAAUGCGUAGAGAUCGGGAAGAACACCAAUGGCGAAGGCAGUCGGCUGGGCCGUUGCUGACACUGAGGCGCGACAGCGUGGGGAGC